UUCCCACAGAAUAAUCUGGUAAGGCCCCUGGAAGAUGACCAGGUUGAUAGGCCGGGAGUGGAAGUGUGGCGACAUAUGAAGCGGACCGGUACUAAUAGGCCGAGGUCUUGACCUA
rnacentral:rRNA from 1 species